CCUUCCCUGAGGAGACCCCUCCCCACGUGCUGUGUGACGGCUGGGUCGUGUCACUUUUCUCAUCCCAGGGUGGCUCGAGCUGAUGGCUCAGCUCACAUGGCCACCCCAGCAUGCGAGCAGCUCCUUUAAGAGGCACCUGUCAGGAGGAAAGAAGGAAUGCACCUCUUCAGCUUAUUUCCACCUUGGGUCUCAUUACAGCAAAACUAAGACUGGCAGUUGGACUGAAGUUGAAAGCUCAGCUUCUCUGGGAAUAGCUCCAAGACCACCGACCGCCAGGUGUGCAGAGCCCAUCUCUACCAUCUCCAGGACAAGGUGGAGUCCCGUGGUCAUGGCUGGACUUGGACAAGGGUGCUUCAGAUGGAAAUAUUCAGAUGCAGAACCAGCAAUUCCACCUCCCUGGGAGAAGACACUGAGGAACUGCCAUCAACUUGCAUGUGUUUGCAGUGUGUCUUCCAGGAUACCCACAGCUUGAUUCACAUUCUCACUGGAAAGGGGGAAUAGCUUCCCAGAGCCUGUAACAGGAUCACUUUUAUGCCGAGUAUGAGGUUUUCCUUUUUUUUUUUUUUAAAUACUUUCCUUGCCUUUUUUGGUUUGACAAUUCCCAAUUCUUUUUCAGCUUACUGACAACAGACAUACCUCCUAGUUUAAGGUUUCUGAACAUGGAGGUUUCGUGGACCACAACUUGAAAAUCAUUGUAGUGUGAGGCAGG
rnacentral:lncRNA from 1 species